rnacentral:tRNA from 1 species
AGAUAAGAAGUAAAAAAAAUUACAAUUAGUUUCGACCUAAAAAAUUGGAUAUAUAUAUCCCUUAUCUA